UACGUAGGGGGCUAGCGUUGUCCGGAAUCAUUGGGCGUAAAGCGCGUGUAGGCGGCCCGGUAAGUCCGCUGUGAAAGUCGGGGGCUCAACCCUCGAAUGCCGGUGGAUACUGUCGGGCUAGAGUACGGAAGAGGCGAGUGGAAUUCCUGGUGUAGCGGUGAAAUGCGCAGAUAUCAGGAGGAACACCCAUUGCGAAGGCAGCUCGCUGGGACGUUACUGACGCUGAGACGCGAAAGCGUGGGUAGCAAACAGG
rnacentral:rRNA from 1 species